rfam:Hordeum vulgare subsp. vulgare, WGS project CAJW01000000 data, contig: morex_contig_44478
UAGAUACUCCCUCCGUCCCAAAAUUCUUGUCUUAGAUUUGUUUAGAAAUGAAUGUAUCUAAAUACUAAAACGUGACUAGGUCCGUUCAUAUGUAAACAAAUGUAAGACACGAAUUUUGGCACGGAGGGAGUACUUA